rnacentral:misc_RNA from 1 species
CGGAAACAAAAAAACACUCAAGAAAUCUAUAAAAGAAUCUAUGCCACGUUAGCAGCUCGUAAUUAACUAAUCCUAUUAAUUUGUUUUGCACUUAACCUUAACAUAGAAUUCACAUGAUAUACCCAGUGUGUUAAUUAAAAAAAUCAUCUAAAAUUGAAACCAGAAAAUAUAUUCUAAAUUCCCUCUAUAUAAUUCUAUUUCAAAAAUUAAAUUUAAUUUUCAUUUUAAGAACAGUGUAGACGGGAAUCAAUAUCAGAGCCUUCGACAACCUAGAGAUAGUUUGGCGCUACGUUCAACCCUCAUCCACAGCUUAGAAGGAGUGAGCUCGACACUGCGUUCAACCCACGGCCACUGCGCACCAACUCCGUAACAUUAAACCUACACUUUGUCCGAAAGUUGCUGGAAAUAAUGUUAACAUGGAAUUUGUGCACCACAAAAGCCAUUCAUCAAACAGAAAGAACAUCUCCAAGCAAAAACUCAAUUGAAGCUGAAGGCAUUGAUCGCGCAAACGAAAUGGCCGCAAGGAAACAAUCUUUUAAAUUAGCCCAAGAAUUAUGCACAUGAUAUGCACACAGAAAACACCGAGAGAAAAAAUAUGAAGAAAAUAAUGAUACAGAGACUAUGAAACGCCUUGGAAGGACAGCCGAUCUCGGAUACUAUCAAAAAUUGAUGCUGCUGCUGUAUUUUGUGCAAAACUCAUUUUCAAUCGUCCAAGCAGCUCCCCAUCUUUUGCUUGAGAAGCAGCAUCAGCAGCUUCCUUUGCCAUGCCUAUCCGUGUGUAAUCCUCAGCUCUUUCUCUCAGAUCUGCAAGUCUAGGUAUAUAUUUCAGAGCUUCACCUUUCUCAUCAGCAUCAAUGCAUGCCUCCACAAAUGGCCUAUAACCUAUUUGAUGCCAAAAGUACAUCCAAGAUACCUCACUCGUUAUAAAACAUAAAUGUUCUGUAACUGUGAAAGUUACUAGUCAUGUUAUUCCCAUAUUUUAUACAUGCUGCUGUGAAUGCAAGUAGAGUAAUUGGAUCACUGAACUUUGUCGAUAUCCAAUUUCUUCAAUGAACUUUAAUUAUGUAUUGUAUGGAUUUAGCCAUCAUGAACAUUGCUAAGAGGCUGGUGAACACCAUCACUUUAAAAUCAGCUCCAGCGAGUAACCUCACCUGAAAUGGUUGGGCAUGCAUGGUUGCCAUGCUGAUUUUUCAGGUGAAGUUGUUCACUGGAGUCUUAGUGAUUUUGGCAACGAUGACUAAAUUGCAGAUGACAUCAAAGCCCAAUGACAAUUGGAAAAUAUCAUAGUUACCGAGGUGAAAUUAAUUCCUAAGUUCAGUGACCCUACCCAAUCCAAUCACUUUAUUCAAUAUAAAAAAAAAAUUAUAAUAAUAAUAAAAAGGCGGCAGAUAUCAAUUGACAUGGUCAUAUACUAUCCGUAUUCAAUUGACAGAGUGAUGUACUAGCUGUAUUUGCUUCUCUGCUGGAUCCGUUGUUAAGAUUAAAUGAGAGAAUCUUCUCCUUGGAAAACUUUUCCAGGGCAUCCCAAUCUCUAAUUGUUGCCAAAGCGAAAACUUUAAGCCAAUACCAUCUCUUCUCAGAAACCUGAAGAAGUUUACAACAACAAAAUGAAGAUGAAAAUUGCAACUUAAAUGCAUAUAAUAAAAAAUGAAUGGAUCAAUCUCUGUAUUCAUCUCCUGUUAAGGCAAUGUAAAAGAUCUUCACAGACCUUAAACUCUGUUUUCACUUUCAUUGCAGCUCGAUGAUUUCCUAAUACAAUGCAUGUCCUAAUAGUAUCACUGAUACUUGAAUCAACAAAAAUAGCCUGCUUUGUAGACACUUCUAACUCAUGUUGAAUUCUGCAAGAGUUGCAAGUAAUCAGCAAUUCAAGUAUAAAGUAGAAUAACUGAAAAGAUGUUAUUUAAUCAUAGAAAAGUGUGGAAACUAGGGAGUAAAUGGAGAAAGGACAGGAAAGAAGGGAUCGAAGAAGAGAGAAAGGAAAUAUUCUGUAAUGAUAUUAGUUCUGGAAUGCCUCAAUUACAGGUAUUUCCCUCUUUAUAUGCUAGCACCUAUUUGUAACAAAAUAACAGAAUAACUACCCUGUUUCCCUCUGCUGGAAUUGAUGAGAUUCAAUUCAAUGCUCCAACUUAUGGAGUGUUAUGGAAAGAUUAUAUAUAUCUUUUAUAUAUUCCUAUUUAGUAUA